UACGUAGGGUGCGAGCGUUUGUCCGGAAUUAUUGGGCGUAAAGGGCUCGUAGGCGGUUUGUCACGUCAGGAGUGAAAACUCGGGGCUCAACCCCGAGCCUGCUUCUGAUACGGGCAGACUAGAGGUAUGCAGGGGAGAACGGAAUUCCUGGUGUAGCGGUGAAAUGCGCAGAUAUCAGGAGGAACACCGGUGGCGAAGGCGGUUCUCUGGGCAUUACCUGACGCUGAGGAGCGAAAGUGUGGGGAGCGAACAGG
rnacentral:rRNA from 1 species